rnacentral:lncRNA from 1 species
UAAAGAUGAACUGUCUUGGCUAUGUGGAAAUUUCUGCACAGGUGGAGUCUGCACCACUGAAAUCUCUGACUGCAUUUUCAAAAGCUGGAACUAAGCUGUCAAAGAAGAAAGCCAAAAAACCCCUCCCUCUAUUAACAGUUACAGGCUUCUUCUACGGAGUCCUGUCUGCUGCUUGAAAUAACUCUCAGCUUUACGUAAGGAGCAGUAUACUAAUUCAGAUAAACUGAAUAUAAUUUGGUUCCCUGCUGAGCAGGUAGUAAAUUGCUUCUCUGUAGAAGUGACCGUGUCCUGUUUUAUAUGUCAGUCAUUUAUAUUUGUGAUUCAUGGUUAUUUAAGAAUCUGUAUUGAAAGAAGAUUUUAGAAGGAGAUCCAGAGGAAUAACUCACCAAAAGAUAAAUGUGAAUGAAAACAACGUGUUUUGUUCCAAGUUAUUUUGUCAUAACACAGGGUCUGUCCAAUGGUUUGUUGAAUAUCCCACAAGCCCAGUAUUAGGGGAAAAACGUGAAGCUCCAUUUGAACCCUUCAGGAACUAAAGUUGUAAUUGUUUUAGAGUUUUCAGUAGGCCACAUCCCACAGCACAAUGAGAAAUCUGGCACAAUAAUUUGUAGUUUGCCAUUCCUGAAUGAUGCCAAAAGGCUUAACGUUGUCCCAGCAAAAAGCUCAACUUGAAAAAGAGUGAACCUGGAAAUACGUUAUCCCUGGUCCCAGCAGUCUGAGCUGUGGAAGGUGACAAAAGGCAAAAGGAAGCACAAGUGCUGCAGAGCAGGAAUACCAGAAGGAGGGGCUCAGGAGCCAGGAAAAGAAAAGUGGAUCUUCUACGAAAACAGGUGAAGGAGGAAAAAUCCAAAAGAAAUCCAAGCAGUAUACUUUGCCAAAUGGGAACUGAACCUGAGUGCACAAAUCUGGAUUUGGUGGUGAAUGCUAAGAACUUCCCUGAUUACGUUGUUCCUACAAUCCCCAGCAGCACAGGAUGUUGGUGGAGAACUCUGCCCGUCCCUCAGAAGCAUAAGGCAGACAGCAAAACCAAAGAGCUCCUGACAGGUACCUGCACUGCUUCCGCAACUUAUGUUGAGUUUAUAAGCUAAGAAGAAAAUCCCUUGAUACUGAAAUCCUAAAAAACCUCCAGAUGUUUGUACAUCAGUCGUCCACUUUAAACUGGACAGUGUGAACAGCAAAGGGAGCUAAGCUACAAAAAUAUAAGAAAAUGAAUUAUUCAUAAAAGUGUUAUAUUUGUACUGAAGUAGUAUGACAAAACAUUUUAAAGCAAAGGUUAUGGAUUGUGGUAUCAGCAUAUGAUUAUACUGUAAGAGUGAUUUAACUAAUUCCAGUUCUACCAGAUAUGAGCAUCUAUACUGGAAUUACGCAGACGUGCUAAAUUUUUACUUCCCCGUUUUAUGCAUAAAAUGUUAAAGCCUAAGUGUCCAUUUUGAGUUCUCCUUAAACAUGAUGUCUUAACAUAAUUCAUUGACUUGGAAGAACUGCAAACAAUAGUAUGUGGUAACUACCUGCAGUCCAAGACAUUACUCGGCUCUGGUGGAGACGUUGUUGGCUGGAAGUCUGCUGGGGCGUCCCAUGCUGGCAUCUGUCGAAAUGCCUUAACUUACCGCCUGAACACACGGCCCCGGCGCUCCGGGAGCACAGGAGCGCAG